rnacentral:rRNA from 1 species
GUACACACCGCCCGUCGCUACUACCGAUUGAAUGAUUUAGUGAGGUCUUCGGACCGGGGCGCGGUUUCCGCUUCGUGCGGUUUCUGAUGUCUCUGGAAAGAUGACCAAACUUGAUUAUUUAGAGGAAGUAAAAGUCGUAACAAGGUUUCCGUAGGUGAACCUGCGGAAGGAUC